UUUAACUUUGAGUUUGAAAUU
ensembl:piRNA 21ur-14114 ncRNA